rnacentral:rRNA from 1 species
CCUACGGGAGGCUGCAGUGAGGACUAUUGGUCAAUGGGCGAGAGCCUGAACCAGCCAAGUCGCGUGAGGGAGUACUGCCCUAUGGGUUGUAAACCUCUUUUGUCGGGGAGCAAAAGCCGGACGUGUCCGGCUGUUAGAGUACCCGAAGAAACAGCAUCGGCUAACUCCGUGCCAGCAGCCGCGGUAAUACGGAGGAUGCGAGCGUUACCCGGAUUGAUUGGGUUUAAAGGGUGCGCAGGCGGAUUUUUAAGUCAGCGGUCAAAUCGUGGGGCUCAACCCCAUCCAGCCGUUGAAACUGGGGAUCUAGAGUGUGCGAGAGGUAUGCGGAAUGCGUGGUGUAGCGGUGAAAUGCAUAGAUAUCACGCAGAACCCCGAUUGCGAAGGCAGCAUACCGGUGCACAACUGACGCUCAGGCACGAAAGCGUGGGUAUCGAACAGGAUUAGAUACCCUGGUGGUC